ACAUGCAAGUCGAACGGAGCUGUUUUGAUGAAGUUUUCGGAUGGAUUUAAAACAGCUUAGUGGCGGACGGGUGAGUAACGCGUGGGUAACCUGCCUCACACUGGGGGAUAACAGUUAGAAAUAGCUGCUAAUACCGCAUAAGCGCACGGUUCCGCAUGGAACAGUGUGAAAAACUCCGGUGGUGUGAGAUGGACCCGCGUCUGAUUAGCCAGUUGGCGGGGUAACGGCCCACCAAAGCGACGAUCAGUAGCCGGCCUGAGAGGGUGAACGGCCACAUUGGGACUGAGACACGGCCCAAACUCCUACGGGAGGCAGCAGUGGGGAAUAUUGCACAAUGGGGGAAACCCUGAUGCAGCGACGCCGCGUGAGUGAAGAAGUAUUUCGGUAUGUAAAGCUCUAUCAGCAGGGAAGAAAGUGACGGUACCUGAAUAAGAAGCCCCAGCUAACUACGUGCCAGCAGCCGCGGUAAUACGUAGGGGGCAAGCGUUAUCCGGAUUUACUGGGUGUAAAGGGAGCGUAGACGGCAAGGCAAGUCUGAAGUGAAAGCCCGGUGCUUAACGCCGGGACUGCUUUGGAAACUGUUUAGCUGGAGUGCCGGAGAGGUAAGCGGAAUUCCUAGUGUAGCGGUGAAAUGCGUAGAUAUUAGGAAGAACACCAGUGGCGAAGGCGGCUUACUGGACGGUAACUGACGUUGAGGCUCGAAAGCGUGGGGAGCAAACAGGAUUAGAUACCCUGGUAGUCCACGCCGUA
rnacentral:rRNA from 1 species